rnacentral:rRNA from 1 species
UACGUAGGGGGCAAGCGUUGUCCGGAUUUAUUGGGCGUAAAGAGCGUGUAGGCGGCUUUGGUAGGUCCGCUGUGAAAACUCGAGGCUCAGCCUCGAGAUGUCGGCGGAAACCACUUGGCUAGAGUCCGGAAGAGGAGAGUGGAAUUCCCGGUGUAGCGGUGAAAUGCGCAGAUAUCGGGAAGAACACCUAUGGCGAAGGCAGCUCUCUGGGGACGGUACUGACGCUGAGACGCGAAAGCGUGGGGAGCAAACAGG